CCUACGGGAGGCAGCAGUGGGGAAUAUUGGGCAAUGGGCGCAAGCCUGACCCAGCAACGCCGCGUGAAGGAAGAAGGCUUUCGGGUUGUAAACUUCUUUUAAGGGGGAAGAGCAGAAGACGGUACCCCUUGAAUAAGCCACGGCUAACUACGUGCCAGCAGCCGCGGUAAUACGUAGGUGGCAAGCGUUGUCCGGAUUUACUGGGUGUAAAGGGCGUGCAGCCGGAGAGAAAAGUCAGAUGUGAAAUCCACGGGCUCAACCCGUGAACUGCAUUUGAAACUGUUUCCCUUGAGUGUCGGAGAGGUAAUCGGAAUUCCUUGUGUAGCGGUGAAAUGCGUAGAUAUAAGGAAGAACACCAGUGGCGAAGGCGGAUUACUGGACGAUAACUGACGGUGAGGCGCGAAAGCGUGGGGAGCAAACAGGAUUAGAUACCCCUGUAGUC
rnacentral:rRNA from 1 species